rnacentral:lncRNA from 1 species
GCCUUAAUCUGCUGCUGUCCUACAUUUCAAGAUGACUUGUGUGCCUCGGGGCAGGAGUUCAGAAGGAAGCACUGCCUUCCCAGAGUGGGACCGUCAGCACUGGACUCAAUCAGCCUCAUGAAGACACGCCUGGGCAAUCUCCUGCAAACUCAGAGGGAUGAGAGGGCAAAACAGGACAAAGCAAAUCAGAGCAAAGAGCAAAGGAGAGACAUACACACGUGCCAAGGUGCACAAGUGGAUGUCAGAAGCUCUUUUGCUACAUAAUGGAUUCGAGACUACCCUAGACUACACAAGACCCUGCCUCAAAAAAAGAAGAGAGAGAGACUGAGAAUUGGAGGAGAAGAAUGAGGGGUUAUGGUUUGAUGAUUUUGGAGUUUCGUGGAUAGCAGGUAACAGUGGUUACACAAUGACAUGAAUAGAACUCAAGUGUCAUCAAACUUUAUUCCGGGAAGCAGUUAAGAGGCUUGCCAGUGUUGAUGACUUUAAGUACUCCAGCAGGCAGCCUAACCCUGAAUCAAGAAACAUCGAGUCAUAGCCAGAUGUGGUGGUACAGGCCUGUAACAUCAGCACUCUGAAAGGAGAGGCAGGAAGAUCAGAAGUUCAUAAUCACCCUUGGCCACAUCCAGAGUUUGAGGCCAACCUGGACUACAUGAAAUUCUGUCAGAAAGAAAGAGAGGAUAUGUGUGUGCUUCCUCUAAUCAUCUUUAGCUAUACUGUGCCUGGAUCAUGGUACAGGACAAUAUAGCGAUGGUCAAACCCAAAUUCAAAGGCUCAAGGACAGGGCUUGGAGAGAUGGCUCAGUGACUGAGAGCACUUGCAGCUCUUGCAGAGGACAUAGUUUCGGUUCCCAGCACACACAAGGCAACUCAACCAUCUGCAACUCCAGCUUCAGGAGAUCCAAUGCCCUCUUCUGCUCUCCAUGAACAAAAAGCAUGCAUGCUUGUGAAGUUCACUAGAUCCAAGAUAAAAGAUAAAUGGAUGUUUUACUGGGGAACAACUUACACAGACAAUAAAGAACCACUGCAACUUUUCUGCUCCAGAGGAUGUUGUCUCUACCCUCCUACCCUAUCCACAGCCCAAGAGGGCGAUCAGGCCUGAGACCGCCUCUGCGCACCUGAAGUUACGC